GUUAACAACCCCGGCCAACAACGAAUCCCUAGACGAACCCGCUUCUCUCCCCUGCGUUCGCCUCGCAUUUCUCCGUCUUCUUGUUAGGUUGCUUCCCACCAUUCGCAUCCCAACGGCCACCAUUCGCGACGAGGGAUACCCACCCGCCGGUCGUCAUCAAGCAAUCGCCGAUCGACGGACGCCUUCGAGGACGGGAAGUCCAGCAACCAAAGGCCGUCGGCCGGCUGCAAAGGGAACUUCGCCUAUCGCCCUCCUCCUCCUCCUCCUCCUCCUCUUUGGUGUUUCCAUGUAAUAGGUCAAGAUGGUGGUGGCUCGAUCAGGACCAGCAGCUCAUGGCGGAAAGUUAAUGGUGAUGCAUUCACGGUCAGCAUUGGAUUUGUCACCUGUGGAGAUUGAGAAGAACGUUCGCUUCUGUAUAUAGCAAUCGGGGCAGGGUAGAGACCCAUCGAAAAUGACUGCAGGCACCUUGUUGUGAAGCUGCUUCUACAUCAUGAUAUUUAAAGAUCAUGUCUAAACUGAAAUAUAUUGUGGAACAAGAUCGCACUACCCGAGUCUUUCUUCUUAAAGUUAUUGUUUCAGUUACAUUCUUCUGACCACAGAGAACUUCAGAAGAAAUCCUGCUGGACUUCCCAAAGUUCAUUGGAGGAAGUAUACGUCACAAUCAUGUCUGGAUAAAGAAACAAAGCAGUCUAGUUCUUCAAAAUGUAAAACGAUGGAAGUUAAUAAAGCUACAAGCAAAGGAUGCAAAAAAUUGGACUUGAAGAAACUUUCUUUGGAUCAUUCAGCUCUCUCUAACAAUCAGGCCUUUAAGACGCAACCGAGGAAAGGGGAACAUCCUGUUCAUGUUCCUUCCGCUGAAAACUCCCAAAAUUUCAGGUCUGCUAACACAUGGAUUUGUAAGAACUCAGCUUGUAAGGCUGUUCUUACCUCAGAUGACACAUUCUGUAAAAGGUGCUCAUGUUGUAUAUGUCAUCUCUUUGAUGACAACAAGGAUCCUAGUCUUUGGUUAGUCUGCACGUCUGAAUCUGGUGACAAGGACUACUGUGGGUUGUCUUGCCAUGUUGAAUGUGCACUCCAGUGCCAAAAGGCAGGAGUUUUCAGUCUUGGACAGUCUAUGCUACUUGAUGGGAGCUACUGCUGUGCUUCAUGCGGAAAGGUUUCUGGAAUUAUAGGAUUCUGGAAGAGGCAACUUUCUGUAGCAAAAGAUGCUCGUCGAGUUGAUGUCCUUUGUUAUCGUAUUUUUUUAAGCUAUAGGCUUCUGGAUGGUACUUCUUGUUUCAAAGAAUUGCACCAAAUUGUAGAGGAAGCAAAGGCAAAGUUAGAAAAAGAAGUUGGUCCAGUGGAUGGAAUCUCAGCCAAAAUGGCCCGUGGCAUUGUGAGCCGGUUGUCUGUUGCUGGUGAUGUUCAGAACCUCUGCUUUGCUGCAAUUGAGAAGGCAGGUGAAUGGAUGAGAUUGAGGUCAACUGAUCUUUUUAAGCAAAAUCACAAAGAUUCACUUCCUGCUGCCUGUAGGUUCCAAUUUAAUGAAAUAACGUCAUCUUCUCUCAUAAUUGUUAUAAAGGAAACUCCUUCAACAGCAUUUGAUGCCAUCAAAGGUUAUAAGCUCUGGUACUGCAAGACCAGAGAUCAAUCCGAUAAGAAGGAGCCUGUGGUCUUCCCAAGGUCUCAGAGAAGGACUCUAUUUACUAACCUCCAGCCAUGCACAGAAUAUGCAUUUCAGAUUAUCUCAUUCACUGAGGAUGAGGAUUUCGGCCACUCAGAAUCAAAAGUGUUUUACUAAGAGUGUGGAGAUCAUCAACAAGCAUAUAGAGAAUACUGGGGCAGAAGGGUGUUCAUCCAGCGUCAAGCAAAAAGGGACAACAGCAGCUGCCAAACCCUCUGGAUUUCAAGUUCGAAAUCUAGGAAAGAUUUUGCAUCUAGCUUGGGCACAGGAAGAUGGAUACUAUGAUGGUUUAUACGAAGAUGAUGUUGAAGAGGAGUCCUGUGGUGGGAGUGGUGAAGUGAUUGCAGAGGCUGCCAAAGCAGCACCUACCACUUCACGCCGGCUUGAUUUGAAUUUGGCCUUGGUUCCUGAUUUAAAUGAUGAGGUAAUACCAUCAACCGAGUGCAGUUACAUUGUUCCAUGAAGUGCCUGCAGUGGAAUCUCGACAUGGUUGUGAGAAACAACUACCCACUGGACAUGAGGAAGCUUGUGAGGGAGACAGCACUUUGGUCAGUGGCUCACCUAGGAGAUUCCAGUAUAGGUUGGGUCAGUUGGAUGAUAACUUUGAAUACUAUGCGAAGGUAAUAAGAUGGCUGGAGUGCUUGGGGCACAUUGGAAGUGAUUUCCGCAUGAAGUUUUUAAAUUGGUUUAGCUUGAGGUCAACGGAGCAAGAACGCAGGGUGGUCAUCACAUUCGUUCAUACAUUGAUUGAAGAGCCCAACAGUUUGGCUGCGCAGUUGCUAGAUUCAUUUUCAGAGAUUGUGACCUGCAAGAGGCUAUGCAGUGGUUUCUGUAGUAAGUUGUGGCAUUAAUCCAAAAGAAAGGACUCGGAGUAUAGCUUGCUCGUUCCAUUUAUGUUCUCACGUUUAUUAGGGAGGUUUGUUUAUAUCAGUUUCUUUUACUAUUUGCUACACAGGUUGUUGCUGACAGUGCUCGCUAACAUGGAAGAACGAACAUCAGCUAUUUAUGACCAUUUCAUCAAUAUCGACCUUCGCAUUUGUUCUUGGUUCAGGGCCUCUAAGACCAACAUUGAUGACUGUUAACAGUUCAGUUAUUUUUGCAUCAAUCCAUCAACAAGUGCGAGCAUCUAAUGUUGCUGUCCUCUGUCACCACUAGAAGGUUCUUGAUGCUUUCAACCUUGAAUAGUCAUGUUUUUUUUCUUUGCUUCUUUUUUGCGCUUGCUUACCCAAUAUAUUUACUAGAUUAAUGUUGUAAAAUGAUGGAAUUGUGAGAAAGAAUGGUUCCAUUACCUUGACCUUCUGGUACCAUGGUUGGCUGUCUCUCAACUUUGCUUGCUAAUUAAUGUUAGCUCAGCCA